GGGAUCUUAGCAUAAUGGUUAAUGCACCAAAUUGUCAGUUUGGAUUAUGCCCGUUCGAGUCGGGUAGUUCUCG
rnacentral:tRNA from 1 species